GCGGGAAUAGCUCAGUCGGUAGAGCAUCAGCUUCCCAAGCUGAGGGUCGCGGGUUCGAGCCCCGUUUCCCGCU
rnacentral:tRNA from 1 species